rnacentral:rRNA from 1 species
GGAGGGAAUAUUGGUUAAUGUGCGAAAGCGCGAACCAGCAACGCCGCGUGAACGAUGAAGGCCUUCGGGUUGUAAAGUUCUUUUUACCGGGAAGAGGAAGGACGGUACCGGUAGAAUAAGUCUCGGCUAACUACGUGCCAGCAGCCGCGGUAACACGUAGGAGACGAGCGUUAUCCGGAUUUACUGGGUGUAAAGCGCGUGCAGGCGGUCUGUUAAGUUGGAUGUGAAAGCUCCUGGCUAAACUGGGAGAGGUCGUUCAAAACUAGCAGACUAGAGUGUGGUAGAGGGGAGUGGAAUUCCGAGUGUAGCGGUAAAAUGCAUAGAUAUUCGGAAGAACACCAGUGGCGAAGGCGACUUUCUGGACCACAACUGACGCUCAGACGCGAAAGCCAGGGUAGCAAACGGGAUUAGAAACCCCAGUAGUCC